GAAUAUUGGAUAAAUAUGAUAGUUUUUAGGAUUUUUUAAACAUUUAAUGGACCAAUCAUAGAUUUAGAAGAAAUAUUUACGAGAAAAGAUUUUACGAUCGUAGGCACGGAAAUCAAAUUAUGGAACCCGAUGAUUAUAAGGAAAAAUACAAAAAACUUGAGAAUAAAAUAAAAAACUUACUUUAUGAGCAAUGCAUAUAUGAAGCUGAAAUUGUAAAAACAGAAGAGCGUUUAUUACAAAUACAUAAAGACAAUAACUUUCUUGUACAAAGAUUAGCAGAACUUGAAAAAAAUGUGAACUAUGAUGAUGAGUGUGAAGAUACUGAAUUAUCUAGUGAAGAUGAAAAAUUAAUUGUUAAUUAUAAUUCAAAGUGUACAGUUUUACAAAAGUCACCUAAGAGUAAUAAAAAAUGUUUUAAAAUUCAACCAGAUUUACUACAAAGUACAAAUAUAAUAGAAGAUAGUGAUGAUAAUAGCCUUAUUAAACAGGAGUUUGCUUGAUAUCUUUUAUAAAAAUGAUAAAUAUUGUUAAUUAAUAUAUGUAAUUUUAAUAAAAAUAUUUCUCAUUUUAGGCUUGAUUUCAAUCAUAUAACAAUUUUUUAAAAUUAUCUUCAAUUAGUUUAGCUGCAUAUCAAAAUUUAAUUCAUUUAAUAUAAUUUUCAAAUACUAAAAAUGGUUCUAUUUUUAUU